rnacentral:rRNA from 1 species
GCAACGCGAAGAACCUUACCAGGUCUUGACAUCCCUCUGACUACUCUAGAGAUAGAGUUUUCCUUCGGGACAGAGGUGACAGGUGGUGCAUGGUUGUCGUCAGCUCGUGUCGUGAGAUGUUGGGUUAAGUCCCGCAACGAGCGCAACCCCUAUUGUUAGUUGCCAUCAUUGAGUUGGGCACUCUAGCGAGACUGCCGGUAAUAAACCGGAGGAAGGUGGGGAUGACGUCAAAUCAUCAUGCCCCUUAUGACCUGGGCUACACACGUGCUACAAUGGCUGGUACAACGAGUCGCAAGCCGGUGACGGCAAGCUAAUCUCUUAAAGCCAGUCUCAGUUCGGAUUGUAGGCUGCAACUCGCCUACAUGAAGUCGGAAUCGCUAGUAAUCGCGGAUCAGCACGCCGCGGUGAAUACGUUCCCGGGCCUUGUACACACCGCCCGUCACACCACGAGAGCUUGUAACACCCGAAGUCGGUGAGGUAACCGUAAGGAGCCAGCCGCCUAAGGUGG